AGAUUGCCUCAAAAGAACUACAACUCCCAACAUUACGAUACAGACAUGUUAAUGACGUAUAAGGAAAUGCCCUACGAAGAUCCUUCACCCAAAAAUGUAACGUUACAUCUCAGGUCGAAAUAAGUGUAUUUCUUUCCAUCUUCAAAUUGCCAUAACCAAUGCCAGAAGAAAUGUCAAUUUUCCCAAGAAUUGCAUUGAAGCCAGAAGUUCAUGAUUACUUGAGGAAUGUCUUCAUAAACAAGGAGGUGCUGGCUGCAGUGAGUCAAGGAGAGGCAGAGCAGAGGUUCCAGAGGCUGCUGUCCUGCCUGUCCCACCCGCCUGCCUUGACCUGUGUACGAGCCAGCACUCACCUGGCUUCCCUGGAGGAGAUCCAACACAGGCUUGUGGAGGAACUCAAACAGCAGCAGAAGUGUGACUCUCAGUCUGAAGACAUUUCCGUUACUAUUCUCCCCCACCCACACAUUCCAGAUGUGCUGCUUCUUCCUGUCAUCGGGCCUAGGCCUGUGGUCCAGCUCAGCUCGGAGGUCAUAGUAGGCGCUCAGUGUGGCAGUGCUGUUCUGAGGGGAGCGCACGUCUUCGCCCCAGGGAUCCUCGCCACACCCAAGUUCAUGAAGACAGGAGAUGCUGUGUCUGUGUUCUCGGACCUGGAGGGGAAGUGCACACGGGGGAACAAGGACUUUAAGGGAAAGAAAGUGUUUGUGGGAAAUGGAGUCGCUGAAAUGGACCGCUCCAACAUCUUCUGCUCAGACGAACCAGUCAAGGGCGUUGGUAUUCGGAUGGUAGAGCCCCUGUACCAGAGCCCCUCCUUCGAUGGGGUACUACCCAGCCUGGCGUUCCUACAGAACCUCCCAUCGGUGGUGGUGGGUCACGUGCUGGGGCCCCGUCCUGGAGAGCGCAUCCUGGAUAUGUGUGCCGCUCCCGGGGGGAAGACCUGCCAUAUUGCUGCCCUGAUGGGGGGACAGGGAGAGGUAGUGGCCCUGGAUAAGAUCAGAGGCAAGGUGGAGCGCAUCCGUCAGAACGCCAAAGCGCUGCAUCUGGACUGCAUCAAAGCCCACUGCUUCAAUAGCAUCAAGGCUGUGUGCACUGACCAGGCCCAGGACACUGAGGGUCCACCCUUCCCUCCACAGAGUUUUGACCGGGUGUUGCUGGAUGCUCCAUGUAGCGGUCUAGGCCAGAGACCCAGCAUGGUCUGUACCUGGAACCUGAAGGAGAUCUGCUCCUACCAGCCUCUACAGCGCAAGCUCUUCCACACCGCGGUACGGCUCCUGAAGAGAGGUGGAGUCCUGGUGUACAGCACCUGCACCGUGACUCUGUCAGAGAACGAGGAGCAGGUGGCCUGGGCCCUUAACACCUUCCCCUGCCUCACACUACAGCCUCAGGUAGCGCACACACAUGCACACAUAGCCUCAGGUAACAAACCUGUAAACACACACAGCCUCGGGUAACAAACCUGUAAACACACACAGCCUCGGGUAACAAACGGGUACGCACACAGCCUCAGGUAACAAAUGUGUACACACACAGCCUCAGGUAACAAAUGUGUACACACACAGCCUCAGGUAACAAAUGUGUACACACACAGCCUCAGGUAACAAAUGUGUACACACACAGCCUCAGGUAACAAAUGUGUACACACACAGCCUCAGGUAACAAAUGUGUACACACACAGCCUCAGGUAACAAAUGUGUGCACACACAGCCUCAGGUAACAAAUGUGUGCACACACAGCCUCAGGUAACAAAUGUGUACACACACAGCCUCAGGUAACAAAUGUGUACAUACACACAGCCUCAGGUAACAAACGUGUACAUACACACAGCCUCAGGUAACAAACGUGUACAUACACACAGCCUCAGGUAACAAAUGUGUACACACACAGCCUCAGGUAACAAAUGUGUACACACACAGCCUCAGGUAACAAAUGUGUACACACACAGCCUCAGGUAACAAAUGUGUACACACACAGCCUCAGGUAACAAAUGUGUACACACACAGCCUCAGGUAACAAAUGUGUGCACACACAGCCUCAGGUAACAAAUGUGUGCACACACAGCCUCAGGUAACAAAUGUGUACAUACACACAGCCUCAGGUAACAAACGUGUACAUACACACAGCCUCAGGUAACAAACGUGUACAUACACACAGCCUCAGGUAACAAACGGGUACAUACACACAGCCUCAGGUAACAAACGGGUACAUACACACAGCCUCAGGUAACAAACGGGUACAUACACACAGCCUCAGGUAACAAACGGGUACAUACACACAGCCUCAGGUAACAAACGGGUACAUACACACAGCCUCAGGUAACAAACGGGUACAUACACACAGCCUCAGGUAACAAACGGGUACAUACACACAGCCUCAGGUAACAAACGGGUACAUACACACAGCCUCAGGUAACAAACGGGUACAUACACACAGCCUCAGGUAACAAACGGGUACAUACACACAGCCUCAGGUAACAAAUGUGUACACACAGCCUCAGGUAACAAAUGUGUGUACACAGCCUCAGGUAACAAAUGUGUACACACACAGCCUCAGGUAACAGAUGUACACAUACAGCCUCAGGUAACAAACGUGUACAUACACACAGCCUCAGGUAACAAAUGUGUACACACAGCCUCAGGUAACAAACGUGCACACACAGCCUCAGGUAACAAAUGUACACACACAGCCUCAGGUAACAAACGUGCACACACAGCCUCAGGUAACAAAUGUACAUACACAGCCUCAGGUAACAAAUGGGUACGCACACACAGCCUCAGGUAACAAAUGUACACAUACAGCCUCAGGUAACAAACGUGCACACACACAGCCUCAGGUAACAAAUGUACACACACAGCCUCAGGUAACAAACGUGCACACACAGCCUCAGGUAACAGAUGUACACACACAGCCUCAGGUAACAAACGUACACACACAGCCUCAGGUAACAAAUGUACACACACAGCCUCAGGUAACAAACGUACACACACAGCCUCAGGUAACAAACGUACACACACAGCCUCAGGUAACAAACGUACACACACAGCCUCAGGUAACAAAUGUACACACACAGCCUCAGGUAACAAAUGUACACACACAGCCCCAGGUAACAAACGUGCACACACAGCCUCAGGUAACAAAUGUACACACACAGCCUCAGGUAACAAAUGUACACACACAGCCUCAGGUAACAAACGUACACACAAAGCCUCAGGUAACAAACGUGCACACACAGCCUCAGGUAACAAAUGUACACACACAGCCUCAGGUAACAAACGUGCACACACAGCCUCAGGUAACAAAUGUACAUACACAGCCUCAGGUAACAAACGUGCACACACAGCCUCAGGUAACAAAUGUACACACACAGCCUCAGGUAACAAACGUGCACACACAGCCUCAGGUAACAAAUGUACAUACACAGCCUCAGGUAACAAACGUGCACACACAAAAAGACUAACUACGGUGUCUCUCUCUCUCAGGAGCCCCACAUCGGAGCAGAGGGCAUGCUGGGAGCUGGCCUGUCACCUGAGCAGCUGCGUCUCCUCCAGAGGUUCAGUCCUGAGUUGGGCUGGAGCGCGGCCGAGGCCAGGGGAGAGGAUGACAGCCCCACAGAACAGCCAGAGUCCCCAACCCCCCUCGCACACCGAGC